rnacentral:rRNA from 1 species
UACGUAGGGGGCAAGCGUUGUCCGGAUUUAUUGGGCGUAAAGAGCGUGUAGGCGGUUUGGUAGGUCCGUUGUGAAAACUCGAGGCUCAACCUCCAGACGCCGAUGGAAACCAUCAGACUAGAGUCCGGAAGAGGAGAGUGGAAUUCCUGGUGUAGCGGUGAAAUGCGCAGAUAUCAGGAAGAACACCCGUGGCUAAGGCGGCUCUCUAGUACGGUACUGACGCUGAGACGCGAAAGCGUGGGGAGCGAACAGG